AUUGAACGCUGGCGGCAGGCUUAACACAUGCAAGUCGAGCGAGCGGCGGACGGGUGAGUAAUGUCUGGGAAACUGCCUGAUGGAGGGGGAUAACUACUGGAAACGGUAGCUAAUACCGCAUACCAUCAGAUGUGCCCAGAUGGGAUUAGCUAGUAGGUGGGGUAAUGGCUCACCUAGGCGACGAUCCCUAGCUGGUCUGAGAGGAUGACCGGCCACACUGGAACGGGGAAACGGUCAAGACUCAUACGGGAGGCAGCAGUGGGAAAUAUUGGAAAAUGGGCGAAAGCCUGAUGCAGACAUGCCGCGUGGGUGAAGAGGGCCUUCGGGUUGUAAAGCACUUUCAGCGAGGAGGCGUUACUCGAAGAAGAAGCAACGGCUAACUCCGUGCCAGCAGCCGCGGUAAUAC
rnacentral:rRNA from 1 species